rnacentral:rRNA from 1 species
UACGUAGGUGACAAGCGUUGUCCGGAUUUACUGGGCGUAAAGAGCGCGCAGGCGGUCGUUCAAGUCGAGUGUGAAAGCCCCCGGCUCAACUGGGGAGGGUCAUUCGAUACUGAUCGACUCGAAGGCAGGAGAGGGUAGUGGAAUUCCCGGUGUAGCGGUGAAAUGCGCAGAUAUCGGGAGGAACACCGGUGGCGAAGGCGGUUCUCUGGGCCUGUACUGACGCUGAGGUGCGAAAGCGUGGGGAGCAAACAGG